rnacentral:rRNA from 1 species
UUGAUCCCUGGCUCAGAUUGAACGCUGGCGGCAGGCCUAACACAUGCAAGUCGAGCGGCAGCACGGGUACUUGUACCUGGUGGCGAGCGGCGGACGGGUGAGUAAUGCCUAGGAAUCUGCCUGGUAGUGGGGGAUAACGCUCGGAAACGGACGCUAAUACCGCAUACGUCCUACGGGAGAAAGCAGGGGACCUUCGGGCCUUGCGCUAUCAGAUGAGCCUAGGUCGGAUUAGCUAGUUGGUGAGGUAAUGGCUCACCAAGGCGACGAUCCGUAACUGGUCUGAGAGGAUGAUCAGUCACACUGGAACUGAGACACGGUCCAGACUCCUACGGGAGGCAGCAGUGGGGAAUAUUGGACAAUGGGCGAAAGCCUGAUCCAGCCAUGCCGCGUGUGUGAAGAAGGUCUUCGGAUUGUAAAGCACUUUAAGUUGGGAGGAAGGGCAGUAAAUUAAUACUUUGCUGUUUUGACGUUACCGACAGAAUAAGCACCGGCUAA